CCUAGGUUAAGAGAGGAAGAGAGGUUUGAAGCGUGAAAGCGAGAGAAAGGAGAGCAUCCAAUCCUCAAUCCGACACGAGCAAAUUCGGUGGUGAGUGAGAGCUGAGUAUGGAAGAAGGAGUUUAAGCGAUUAAAGGUUAUCCCGCGAAGGCGAUAGGGGGAGGGGCACUUCGCGGAAGGUUUCGAGGCAAACCUUUAGGGGAUUUUGGGCUUUUGAGCGGAGGAAACAAGUUUUGGGAGCCAGAGAGUGAAUGCAGGAGCGGGGGAGCGAGAUACAUGAAGUUUGAGUAGAGGGUUGUCGUAACGGGUGAAAUUGAAUCAGUACAGGGAGUUAACUCGGUGUGUGUUUUUUUUAGAUGCUUGCGAUAAUUUUGGAAACCGAGACACUAAUCUUGACGAUGUGGCUCUGCUAAUUUCUGGUGUUCGGAUGGACUGGAUCAGUGGUUUCUGUUGCGUUUUGAUCGUCUGUUCGCCUUCAAUCUCGACUGUCUGGCAAUCUCUGAACUAUGACCGAGAGAGGGAUACCUGCAAAGGCACUCCGACGCUCAAGUUAGGCGUGUUAUAAGGGAAGAACCUCAGUUCCUUUUGAAGGAUUCUCAGUGGAAGAGAAUAAAGUCUCAAUGAUAUGAAUAAUGUGUAUGAGAGGUGUGAACGAAGCGUACCUGGCUGACGACUCUGGCUCUUAUUUUAUAGACUCGGUAUUGAUAUGAGAUCAAUGAAAUAUCAACAGAAUAAAAUAUAAACAACCUUACCUGA